GAUAUUUUUAUCUCUUUUUCACUUUUAUCUAGAAAGAAUAAAAAUUUUAAUUUUUCUCUACUGAAGUGUUCGGCAAAGAAUGGCAAAGGCUGGUAUUUUCAUCAAAUUUUGCAGAAAGGAUAAUAGAUCAUGGUUACAGAAUGUACCCCUGUGUGAUCAGAAACAGUAUCUUCACUUUCGCGUACCAGCUGUUUAUUGAACAUCUCUUGAGUUUUGCUACGGCCCCACAAUAAAAUGUGCAAAACGGA
rnacentral:lncRNA from 1 species